rnacentral:rRNA from 1 species
UUAGGAAUUUUGGGCAAUGGGGGCAACCCUGACCCAGCAACGCCGCGUGGGUGAUGAAGGCCUUCGGGUCGUAAAGCCCUUUUCCCAGGGACGAUGAUGACGGUACCUGGGGAAUCAGCCCCGGCUAACUACGUGCCAGCAGCCGCGGUAAUACGUAGGGGGCAAGCGUUGUCCGGAUUUAUUGGGCGUAAAGCGCUCGCAGGCGGCUUGAUACGUCGUGCGUGAAACACCCCGGCUCAACUGGGGAGGGUCGUGCGAUACGGUCAGGCUUGAGGCCAGUAGGGGGAUGCGGAAUUCCGGGUGUAGUGGUGGAAUGCGUAGAGAUCCGGAGGAACACCAGCGGCGAAGGCGGCAUCCUGGACUGGUUCUGACGCUCAUGAGCGAAAGCGUGGGGAGCGAUCCG